rnacentral:rRNA from 1 species
GGUUAAGUUAGAAAGGGCGCACGGUGGAUGCCUUGGCACUAGGAGCCGAAGAAGGACGGGACUAACACCGAUAUGCUUUGGGGAGCUGUACGUAAGCGUUGAUCCAGAGAUUUCCGAAUGGGGGAACCCACUAUCUUUAGUCGGAUAGUAUCCUUACGUGAAUACAUAGCGUGAGGAAGGCAGACCCAGGGAACUGAAACAUCUAAGUACCUGGAGGAAGAGAAAGAAAAAUCGAUUUCCUGAGUAGCGGCGAGCGAAACGGAAAGAGCCCAAACCAAGAAGCUUGCUUCUUGGGGUUGUAGGACACUCUAUACGGAGUUACAAAAGAAAGUUAUAAAUGAAGCGGUCUGGAAAGGCCCGCCAAAGACGGUAACAGCCCGGUAGUUGAAAUGGCUUUCCCUCCAGAGUGGAUCCUGAGUACGGCGGAACACGUGAAAUUCCGUCGGAAUCCGGGAGGACCAUCUCCCAAGGCUAAAUACUCCCUAGUGACCGAUAGUGAACCAGUACCGUGAGGGAAAGGUGAAAAGCACCCCGGAAGGGGAGUGAAACAGUUCCUGAAACCGUGUGCCUACAAGUAGUUAGAGCCCGUUAAUGGGUGAUAGCGUGCCUUUUGUAGAAUGAACCGGCGAGUUACGAUUUGUUGCAAGGUUAAGCGGAAAAAGCGGAGCCGUAGCGAAAGCGAGUCUGAAUAGGGCGCAUAAGUAACAGGUCGUAGACCCGAAACCAGGUGAUCUACCCAUGUCCAGGAUGAAGGUAAGGUAAUACUUACUGGAGGUCCGAACCCACGCACGUUGAAAAGUGCGGGGAUGAGGUGUGGGUAGCGGAGAAAUUCCAAUCGAACUUGGAGAUAGCUGGUUCUCUCCGAAAUAGCUUUAGGGCUAGCCUCGAGGUAAAGAGUCAUGGAGGUAGAGCACUGUUUGGACUAGGGGCCCUUCUCGGGUUACCGAAUUCAGAUAAACUCCGAAUGCCAUGUACUUAUACUCGGGAGUCAGACUGCGAGUGAUAAGAUCCGUAGUCGAAAGGGAAACAGCCCAGACCACCAGUUAAGGUCCCCAAAUAUAUGUUAAGUGGAAAAGGAUGUGGGGUUGCUUAGACAACCAGGAUGUUGGCUUAGAAGCAGCCACCAUUGAAAGAGUGCGUAAUAGCUCACUGGUCGAGUGACCCCGCGCCGAAAAUGUACCGGGGCUAAACAUAUUACCGAAACUGUGGAUGAACCUCUUUAGAGGUUCGUGGUAGGAGAGCGUUCUAAGGGCGGUGAAGUCAGACCGGAAGGACUGGUGGAGCGCUUAGAAGUGAGAAUGCCGGUAUGAGUAGCGAAAGAAGGGUGAGAAUCCCUUCCACCGAAUAUCUAAGGUUUCCUGAGGAAGGCUCGUCCGCUCAGGGUUAGUCGGGACCUAAGCCGAGGCCGAUAGGCGUAGGCGAUGGACAACAGGUAGAGAUUCCUGUACCAGUGCUAAUUGUUUAACCGAUGGGGUGACACAGAAGGAUAGGGAAUCGCACGAAUGGAAAUGUGCGUCCAAGCAGUGAGUGUGAGAAGUAGGCAAAUCCGCUUCUCGCGAAGCAUGAGCUGUGAUGGGGAAGGAAAUUAAGUACGGAAGUUCCUGAUUUCACGCUGUCAAGAAAAGCCUCUAGGAAGAGUAGUACUGCCCGUACCGCAAACCGACACAGGUAGAUGAGGAGAGAAUCCUAAGGUGAGCGAGAGAACUCUCGUUAAGGAACUCGGCAAAAUGACCCCGUAACUUCGGGAGAAGGGGUGCUCUAUUAGGGUGCAAGCCCGAGAGAGCCGCAGUGAAUAGGCCCAGGCGACUGUUUAGCAAAAACACAGGUCUCUGCAAAACCGUAAGGUGACGUAUAGGGGCUGACGCCUGCCCGGUGCUGGAAGGUUAAGAGGAGUGCUUAGCUUCGGCGAAGGUACGAAUUGAAGCCCCAGUAAACGGCGGCCGUAACUAUAACGGUCCUAAGGUAGCGAAAUUCCUUGUCGGGUAAGUUCCGACCCGCACGAAAGGCGCAACGAUCUGGGCACUGUCUCAACGAGAGACUCGGUGAAAUUAUAGUACCUGUGAAGAUGCAGGUUACCCGCGACAGGACGGAAAGACCCCGUGGAGCUUUACUGCAACCUGAUAUGGAAUGUUUGUACCGCUUGUACAGGAUAGGUAGGAGCCGAAGAGACGUGUGCGCUAGCAUACGAGGAGGCAAUGGUGGGAUACUACCCUGGCUGUAUGACCAUUCUAACCCGCCACGCUUAGCGCGUGGGGAGACAGUGUCAGGUGGGCAGUUUGACUGGGGCGGUCGCCUCCUAAAGAGUAACGGAGGCGCCCAAAGGUUCCCUCAGAAUGGAUGGAAAUCAUUCGCAGAGUGUAAAGGCACAAGGGAGCUUGACUGCGAGACUGACAAGUCGAGCAGGGACGAAAGUCGGGCUUAGUGAUCCGGUGGUUCCGCAUGGAAGGGCCAUCGCUCAACGGAUAAAAGCUACCC